rnacentral:rRNA from 1 species
ACUAAAUAGAUACCCCGGUAGUCCACGCCCUAAACGAUGUCUACUAGUUGUUGGUGGAGUAAAUCCAUGAGUAAACGCAGCUAAACGCGUGAAGUAGACCGCCUGGGGAGUACGGUCGCAAGAUUAAAACUCAAAGGAAUUGACGGGGGCCCGCACAAGCGGUGGAUUAUGUGGAUUAAUUCGAUGCAACGCGAAAAACCUUACCUGGCCUUGACAUGCCACUAACGAAGCAGAGAUGCAUUAGGUGCCCGUAAGGGAAUGGACACAGGUGCUGCAUGGCCGUGUCAGCUCGUGUCGUGAGAUG